AACGCACAUUGCGCCCUUUGGCAUUCCGAAGGGCAUGCCUGUUCGAGCGUCAUUACACCAAUCAAGCCUGGCUUGGUAUUGGGCGACGGGGCCGUCACACGCCCCGCGCCCCAAUGACUCCCCGGCGGGACGUUACCGUAUCUCAGCGUUGUGGUCAAAAGCCGCUGGCGAGACGGGGCGGCCGUGCCGUUAAACCUCUCUUCUGUAAGGUUGACCUCGGAUCAGGUAGGGAUACCCGCUGAACUUAA
rnacentral:misc_RNA from 1 species